GGCUGAUACCGCCCAAGAGUUCACAUCGACGGCGGUGUUUGGCACCUCGAUGUCGGCUCAUCACAUCCUGGGGCUGAAGCCGGUCCCAAGGGUAUGGCUGUUCGCCAUUUAAAGUGGUACGCGAGCUGGGUUUAGAACGUCGUGAGACAGUUCGGUCCCUAUCUGCCGUGGACGUUGGAGAUUUGAGGAAAGCUGCUCCUAGUACGAGAGGACCGGAGUGGACGAACCUCUGGUGUUCGGGUUGUGACGCCAGUCGCAUUGCCCGGUAGCUAUGUUCGGACAGGAUAACCGCUGAAAGCAUCUAAGCGGGAAGCCCCUUCCAAGAUGAGAUCUCCCUGGACCCUCGAGGUCCCUGAAGAGCCGUUCAAGACCAGGACGUUGAUAGGUCGGGUGUGUAAGCGCUGCGAGGCGUUGAGCUAACCGAUACUAAUUGCUCGUGCGGCUUGACUAUAUAACACCCAAG
rnacentral:rRNA from 1 species